UACGUAGGGUGCAAGCGUUGUCCGGAAUUAUUGGGCGUAAAGAGCUCGUAGGCGGUCUGUCGCGUCUGCUGUGAAAACCUAGGGCUUAACUCUGGGCGUGCAGUGGGUACGGGCAGGCUAGAGUGCGGUAGGGGAGACUGGAAUUCCUGGUGUAGCGGUGAAAUGCGCAGAUAUCAGGAGGAACACCAGUGGCGAAGGCGGCUC
rnacentral:rRNA from 1 species